rnacentral:rRNA from 1 species
UAGCCACGGUAAUACCAGCUCUCCGAGUGGUGGGGAUGUUUAUUGGGCUUAAAGCAUCCGUAGCUGGCUGGGCAAGUCCCCUGUUAAAUCUAACGAUUUAAUCGUUGGUCUGCGGGGGAUACUGCUUGGCUAGGAGGCGGGAGAGGCCGUCGGUAUUCUUGGGGUAGGGGUGAAAAUCCUAUAAUCCCCAAGAGGACCCACCAGUGGCGAAGGC